AAAAGAAAAAAAAGUGCGUGGAAAAAUUUUCUUUGUAAAUUGAAAGAGGAACGGAGCUUGAGUUCUUUGUGCUGGGGGUCUGACCCGGAGUUCCCAAAGGAGCGUUGGAUUCAUUCCUUAUGGAUCCUUAUACUUCGAUUAAGGAAAAUGAACGGCAGGCCAACUCUAAGAGAUGGGUUUUUUGCAUUUCCCUCCCAUCUUUCGUGUAAGUCGAAGCAGGCUAAACUCCAGAGUGGAUGCCCAUCGGAAGAAUAUAAGUAAAAACCGAAGUAAAUAAAGUAACAAAAUGUUAUUUUUGGUGGUUUUUUUUAAUAAACUUUUAUGAAAAUCCUUACUAUUUAAAAUAAAUUUGAAACCAAA